ACGAACGCUGGCGGCGUGCUUAACACGUGCAAGUCGAACGGAAAGGCCCUGCUUUUGUGGGGUGCUCGAGUGGCGAACGGGUGAGUAACACGUGAGUAACCUGCCCUUGACUUUGGGAUAACUUCAGGAAACUGGGGCUAAUACCGGAUAGGAGCUCCUGCUGCAUGGUGGGGGUUGGAAAGUUUCGGCGGUUGGGGAUGGACUCGCGGCUUAUCAGCUUGUUGGUGGGGUAGUGGCUUACCAAGGCUUUGACGGGUAGCCGGCCUGAGAGGGUGACCGGCCACAUUGGGACUGAGAUACGGCCCAGACUCCUACGGGAGGCAGCAGUGGGGAAUAUUGCACAAUGGGCGGAAGCCUGAUGCAGCAACGCCGCGUGCGGGAUGACGGCCUUCGGGUUGUAAACCGCUUUCGCCUGUGACGAAGCGUGAGUAACGGUAAUGGGUAAAGAAGCACCGGCUAACUACGUG
rnacentral:rRNA from 1 species